AUUCAUCAAACAUCUUAAAAAAUCAAACAUAGAUUUGGAGUAACCGUUGUUGAGCCUUUGGAGUAGCCGGUCUUUGCAAGGCGCCGCCGUUCCACUUGUACCACGCACCUUUGUGUGCGCGUGCUCUUUUUUCGCGGUCUGGUUUAUUUGUUUGAAAUGAAUUGGCCUUCAACUUCGAGAGGAAUCAUCGAAGAGUGCCGUGUAUGAUCAGCCACACCGAUCCGAGCGAGCUCUCCAAUUCCUUCCAGGUACUACCCCAAAAACUGUUGCAAUCAAGGAAUGGUGGGAAGCAACUGACAGGAAAUUUCAGGCAUGGCCUCGAGCUGCAGGUCCACCCUUGGUCAUGAAUCCUAUCAGUCGACAGAAUUUCAUUGUCAAGUCCCUCACUGAGUCUUGAAGGUCUCAUCUUACACUUAAUUGGUUCCCUUCUGCUCGUAUAGAACUGCCUAGUCCUGGACGAAGUUUUUCCUGUUUGAUACCUGAAUUAGAAGGACACUUAGUUUAGAUCAUAAUGGCUUUCACGACCUUUCAUUAGGGUACUUUUUUUCUGUAAUGGGUGUGUUUAAUGCAGCUGUGAGCCUUACUAUAUCUGUAUAGAUGUGAGGAAACUGUAUAUCAUCGCGUGUGUAUAUAUAUAUGAUUUUGUCUUUGAUGUACAACUCUUAAUCCAAGUAGUAGCUCAUUCAUUCCUUAACA